ACGAACGCUGGCGGCGCGCCUAACACCUGCAAGUCGAGCGAUGAAAUUUUAACCGAUCUCUUCGGAGAGAAGAUAAAAUGGAUUAGCGGCGGACGGGUGAGUAACACGUGAGAAACCUGCCUUUCACAAGGGGAUAGCCUCGGGAAACCGGGAUUAAUACCCUAUGACACAUUUCCUUCGCAUGGAAGAAAUGUUAAAACUCCGGUGGUGAAAGAUGGUCUCGCGCCUGAUUAGCUAGUUGGUGGGGUAACGGCCCACCAAGGCCAUGAUCAGUAACCGGCCUGAGAGGGUGAACGGUCACAUUGGAACUGAGACACGGUCCAAACUCCUACGGGAGGCAGCAGUGGGGAAUAUUGCACAAUGGAGGAAACUCUGAUGCAGCGACGCCGCGUGAGCGAUGAAGGCUUUCGAGUCGUAAAGCUCUGUCCUAUGGGAAGAUAAUGACGGUACCAUAGGAGGAAGCCCCGGCUAACUACGUG
rnacentral:rRNA from 1 species